rnacentral:rRNA from 1 species
AUUGAACGCUGGCGGCAUGCCUUACACAUGCAAGUCGAACGGCAGCAUGAUCUAGCUUGCUAGAUUGAUGGCGAGUGGCGAGCGGGUGAGUAAUACAUCGGAACGUGCCCUGUAGUGGGGGAUAACUAGUCGAAAGAUUAGCUAAUACCGCAUACGACCUGAGGGUGAAAGUGGGGGACCGCAAGGCCUCAUGCUAUAGGAGCGGCCGAUGUCUGAUUAGCCAGUUGGUGAGGUAAAGGCCCACCAAGGCGACGAUCAGUAGCUGGUCGGAGAGGACGAUCAGCCACACUGGGACUGAGACACGGCCCAGACUCCUACGGGAGGCAGCAGUGGGGAAUUUUGGACAAUGGGGGCAACCCUGAUCCAGCAAUGCCGCGUGUGUGAAGAAGGCCUUCGGGUUGUAAAGCACUUUUGUCCGGAAAGAAAUCGCACUUACUAAUAUUAGGUGUGGAUGACGGUACCGGAAGAAUAAGGACCGGCUAACUACGUGCCAGCCGCCGCAGUAAAAC